AACAGCCAGCCAUAUCACCCUGUAGGCCAAGACUGGUUGCCCACUGAAGCUGAGCAGGGUUGAGCUGGUCAGUUCCUGGAUGGGAGACCUCCUGGGUAAACUAGGUUGCUGCUGGAA
ensembl:rRNA 5S_rRNA 5S ribosomal RNA